rnacentral:ncRNA from 1 species
AUAAAGUUUUAUUCUAGCUUGGAUUUUUAGUUUAAUUUUAUUUUACAUGUAAAUUUUGGUGUGAUUAGGAAUUCUCUAGAUGAGUAAUAAUAGUUAUAUGAUCGCAGUAUGGAAAUUUAAAUAUCAGCGGGAGCUGGAUUUAGGAAUAAUUGAAAGUAUUAACAAAAUUUGUGCCAGCAGUUGCGGUUACACAUAUGAUGCUAUUAAAAAUUUUUCGGAAGCAGUAAAUUUUUAUUUUUGACUUAUUUCUAAAAAUUAUAAGGUGAAAUUUUUAAUUUUUAUGUUUAGUCUAUAAAAUAUAGUUAGUCUGGGAAAUUCUCUAUUAAACUAGGAUUAGAUACCCUAUUAUUUUGAACGUGAUUUAUUAAAUUCCAGAUUAGUAUUAGUUAUGUUCUUGAAAAUUAAAGAUUUUGGCGGUAUUCUAGUCUUUUCAGAGGAACCUGUCCUAUAAUUGAUGAUCCACGAUAAAUUGAACUUUUUCUUUUAGUUUGUAUAUCGUCGUAGUUUGAAUAUUUUAGAAGAAUUUGGAAUGUUCAUGAUUUUUAUUUAAAGGAAAUCAGAUCAAGGUGCAGCUUAUGGAAAAGUAGAGAUGGGUUACAUUAAAUUUAUUUUUGGAUUUAUUUUAGAAAGAAUUAAUGAAUUUGGAUUUGACAGUAAUUUUAAUUAUUUUAUUAAAAUGAUUUAAGCUCUGGAAUAUGUACAUAUCGCCCGUCGCUUUCGCUUUAAGGUGAAAUAAGUCGUAACAAAGUAGGCUUACUGGAAAGUGUGCCUAGAAAGGC